GCCACCACUUCCUCAUCCGUUGGGCGGAUAUCGAGCAUACCAGCGUCGAUAUCCGCCAACGAAUUAGCCACAAAACCUCUAAACUCGAAUUCAACUCCAAUCGUGUCGGCUAAUUGAGCUAGUUUCCAUCCGACUUGCUGUAAAGCGUCAGUGUUAUCCGGUUGCGGCGGUCCAAUCCCAGUUAAACGAAAAGCCGGUGGACCGCCGUUACGCAAGGCCAACGCUUGCAUAAGCGCUGGCCAUUGCAUACCUUGAUUUAAACUGAAAUCGAUGACGUGGACGCGUGUCGCGCCCGCGAACGCUUCCAGGAUCGCUUGAUUCGCCGUGAAAUGAGCGAAUUUGAGGUACGGACAACUCUCGUAAAAAUGCAUAUGUAAAUCCUCAAGCGACUCUCGAGGGUAGAUCUUGUAAAUUCGCUGAGCCAGAGCGC
rnacentral:lncRNA from 1 species